GGCUUCGGCCAAGUACCAGUGGCGCACGGGUGAGGAACGCGUGGAUAAUCUGCCUUCAAGUGGGGGAUAACUAUCCGAAAGGAUGGCUAAUACCGCAUAAGACCACAGAAUCUGAGGAUUUAGGGGUCAAAAGAUUUAUCGCUUGAAGAUGAGUCCGCGUAAGAUUAGCUAGUUGGUAGGGUAACGGCCUACCAAGGCAACGAUCUUUAACUGGUCUGAGAGGAUGAUCAGUCACACUGGAACUGAGACACGGUCCAGACUCCUACGGGAGGCAGCAGUAGGGAAUAUUGCGCAAUGGGGGAAACCCUGACGCAGCGACGCCGCGUGAGUGAUGAAGGCCUCGGUCGUAAGACUCUGUCGCAUGGAUAAGAUCUGAAUGUACCAUGCAAGAAAGGAAUCGGCUAACUUCGUGCCAGCAGCCGCGGUAAGACGA
rnacentral:rRNA from 1 species